rnacentral:rRNA from 1 species
UAGCGUAGGGACCAAGCGUUGUUCGGAUUUACUGGGCGUAAAGGGCGCGUAGGCGGCAAUUUCAAGUCAGCUGUGAAAUCUCCGGGCUUAACUCGGAAACGGUCAGCUGAUACUGCUUUGCUAGAGUGCAGAAGGGGCAAUCGGAAUUCUUGGUGUAGCGGUGAAAUGCGUAGAUAUCAAGAGGAACACCUGAGGUGAAGACGGGUUGCUGGGCUGACACUGACGCUGAGGAGCGAAAGCGUGGGAGCGAACAGG